GACGAACGCUGGCGGCGUGCUUAACACAUGCAAGUCGAACGGAAAGGCCCUGCUUUUGUGGGGUGCUCGAGUGGCGAACGGGUGAGUAACACGUGAGUAACCUGCCCUUGACUUUGGGAUAACUUCAGGAAACUGGGGCUACUACCGGAUUGGAGCUCCUGCUGCAUGGUGGGGGUUGGAAAGUUUCGGCGGUUGGGGCUGGACUCGCGGCUUAUCAGCUUGUUGGUGGGGUAGUGGCUUACCAAGGCUUUGACGGGUAGCCGGCCUGAGAGGGUGACCGGCCACAUUGGGACUGAGAUACGGCCCAGACUCCUACGGGAGGCAGCAGGGGGGAAUAUUGCACAAUGGGCGGAAGCCUGAUGCAGCAACGCCGCGUGCGUGAUGACGGCCUUCGGGUUGUAAACCGCUUUCGCCUGUGACGAAGCGUGAGUGACGGUAAUGGGUAAAGAAGCACCGGCUAACUACGUG
rnacentral:rRNA from 1 species